GAGAAAACACUUUUUUUUCGACCUCAGAUUAG
rnacentral:rRNA from 1 species